CUCUAGUACCAAGCAAUUCUAUACUUUUAUAGAACUUUUUAUGUUAAAACUAGUAACAAGAAGUACCCCUUCUCUUUAAUGCAAGCAUAAAUNAGUCAGGACCAACCACUGAUAAUUAACACCCAUGAGCCUACAGUAGAAACACCACAAGAUAACCCUACUUCACCCCGUGUUAACCUAACACAAGAGCAUUACAAGAUAGAUUAANAGAAAAAGAAGGAACUCGGCAAACAUUAACCCCGCCUGUUUACCAAAAACAUCGCCUCUUGAUAAACUUAUAAGAGGUCCAGCCUGCCCAGUGACCCUGUUCAACGGCCGCGGUAUCCUAACCGUGCGAAGGUAGCGNAAUCACUUGUUCUUUAAAUGAGGACUUGUAUGAAUGGCACCACGAAGGUUAUACUGUCUCCUUUUUCUAAUCAGUGAAACUAAUCUUCCCGUGAAGAAGCGGGAAUAAAAAUAUAAGACGAGAAGACCCUAUGGAGCUUUAAACAAACAUACACUUGCCUCUCCCCCAAAAAAUUUCAGAAGACAAAUAAUUACCCAGGCAUUUUAAUAUGAAGUUUUAGGUUGGGGUGACCACGGAGCAAAAAACAACCUCCGCAGCGAACGGGAGCUUUCCCUAAACCGAGGGCCACGACCCCAAGUAUCGACUAAUCGACACCAAUUGACCCAAUAAAUUUGAUCAAUGAACCAAGUUACCCUAGGGAUAACAGCGCAAUCCACUUCAAGAGCCCCUAUCGACAAGUGGGUUUACGNCCUCGAUGUUGGUUCAGGGUAUCCAGUGGUGCAGCCGUUACUAACAGUGGUGCAGCGCUACUAACGGUUCGUUUGUUCAACGAUUAAAACCCUACGUGAUCUGAGUUCAGACCGGAGUAAUCCAGGUCAGUUUCUAUCUAUAAAGAGCUUUUUCUAGUACGAAAGGACCGAAAAAGCACGGCCCAUACUUAACGCAAGCCGUAGCAACCAAUUUAUGACAUAACCUCAAUAAAAUUAUGUAUCUCACCCAGCCCAAGAAAAGGGC
rnacentral:rRNA from 1 species